GUGUUUUUUCUGCCCCUUUUAAAACUGAGCUGGAGUGUUCCCGACUCCUCCAUUCGACACCUCUGGCUCCCUUAUUCCCCUCGGUAACAGAUGUUCAUUGUGACGUGAAUGUAAUUUCAGUACCUGCAGAGGAGAAAUGACGACCGGAGCCACCCGAGCUUAAAGGAAGAAUCAGCACAACCUGUUUGAUCCUGCUCCAUACCUCACAAGCCCAGAGGCCUCUCUCAUGUACCUCCCAGUCAUUUCUUCUGUACCUUGAAGAUACCUGUUCUACUUGCACUAUUCUAUGCUACCUGGGAAGGGCAAAAGCUGUCCUCUUCUGUUCCCAUCCAUGAGGGAACAAUUCCAUGCAUGACUUCUAAGCCAAUGAGGGACUGCCUAUCACAGAGGAUGAUGUUCAGUCUGCUUCCUCCUCUCUUCUGGAGACAAACCCUGCCAGAGAAACCAAAACCUGUACCCUAUUGGCUAAACUUUCACCUAAGCAAAGGGAGAGAUACCCAAAGAUGUCUUCUGCCACUGCUCAUUAGAACUGAAGCCAAUGUCACCACAUUGUGAUAGUCAUCA